GAGGCGUCGUACACGAUGCUAGCAGGCACGUUGCCCAGCUAAUCAAGAUACGUCUUUUACUCCAGUAGGAUAUACUCGGUGUAUACAUCGCCCUCUGUACAGUACAUGUGAGUGUAGUAUGACGGUAAAUUAAUUGCACAUGGAGAUAAUUAAACCCAGCACGUAGUAUAUAUAUACUUGAUCGAAUUGAGUGAAAUCUUUCCAGGAUUUUAGUCGGAACGAUCUAUGUGAUUGACAUUAAUUUAAUCCGACACUUGCGUGCCUGCCGAUGC
rnacentral:lncRNA from 1 species